rnacentral:rRNA from 1 species
GCAUAUCAAUAAGCGGAGGAAAAGAAACCAACAGGGAUUGCCUCAGUAACGGCGAGUGAAGCGGCAAAAGCUCAAAUUUUAAAUCUGCCAUCCGGCCGAGUUGUACUUUGCAGAGGAUGUUUUGAAAUCUGUCUCGUCUAAAGUCCUUUGGAACAGGGCGUCAUGGAGGGUGAAAAUCCCGUCUUUUCGAUGACAGCUUUUCGUGUAAAACUCCUUCGAAGAGUCGAGUUGUUUGGGAAUGCAGCUCUAAGUGGGAGGUAAAUUUCUUCCAAAGCUAAAUAUAGGCUAGAGACCGAUAGCGCACAAGUAGAGUGAUCGAAAGAUGAAAAGCACUUUGAAAAGAGAGUUAAACAGCACGUGAAAUUGUUGAAAGGGAAGCUUAUGUAAUCAGACAUGAUUCUCAGGUUCAGCCUUUUGGUGUAUUCCUGAGGAUCAGGUUAGCAUCAGUUUGGGUCGUUGGAUAAAAGUUUCGGGAAUGUAACUCUUCGGAGUGUUAUAGCCCGAUUCAGAAUGCGACGAAUCUAGACUGAGGUCCGCUUUGAAGGAUGCUGACAUAAUGGUUGCAUGAGGCCCGUCUUGAAACACGGACCAAGGAGUCUAACAUCUAUGCAAGUGUUCGAGUGUCAAACUCGUACGCGUAAUGAAAGUGAACGGUGGUAGGAGCUUCGGCGCACUAUCGACCGGUCCUGAUGUCUUCGGAUGGAUCUGAGUAUGAGCAUAGCUGUUGGGACCCGAAAGAUGGUGAACUAUACAUGACUAGGGUGAAGCCAGAGGAAACUCUGGUGGAAGCUCGUAGGGGUUCUGACGUGCAAAUCGAUCUUAAAAGUUGUGUAUAGGGCGAAAGACUAAUCGAACCAUCUAGUAGCUGGUUUCCUGCCGAA